rnacentral:tRNA from 13 species
UUUUGUCUAGUGGUUAGGAUUUUCGGCUCAGAACCGAAAGGUCCCCAGUUCUAUCCCGCCACCAAAAA